UGCAAACGCUGUGAGUCUUCUUCGUCCGCCUUUGCUCCCGCAGGAGUCACGUUUGUGUUCCUUCCCCGGAGCUCUCGGGGUGCACGCGCGCGCCGCCUUUGGAGGGUGGGAAGUUCCUUUGCUUCCGAGGCGAGAGAAGGAACAGCAAUCUGAGAUUUUACAAGAUAAAUGCAACAGCAAGAAGUUACUAACAGCGUUGGUUAUAAGCAAAGAGAAAACAGGUACUAAAGCAAAAAGAAGAACCUCAAAGUUGUAAUAUGUCAGGUGGAUGUGAAACUUCUGUGUGCAUUUUCUGCCAAAAAAAUGAUUGUUCUGGCUUUUGUGUCAAGUCACUGUUAAAUUAUGUAUAGUUUCAGUUACUGUAUAUAUCUGUAAGUACCCUUUUUUGUUGUUACUUCCAAAACAAGAAGGGUGUUUGUUAAAAUUAAGACUUUCUUUUAAAGUAUAAAUUAAAAUUGAAUUUAGGAUGUCUUUAAUUUAAAUAGAAUUUAAAGCACAGCAUAGUCUAGGUUUUUGUAUUGUCAUUAUAAUAGUUUUUAACAACUUGUAAUAAAAAUUAUAGAGUUUAGAGCUUAAUAGGAAAUGUAAAAAUAUCUGUAUUUUCAGAUCUUGAAUAAAAUUUGCCAGUCAACGAAGUAAAUGUGUCAGGUAUAUGUACAAAUGGAAUAACUCAUAUCUAAAUGUUGAAUGAAUUAGUUGGGUAAACUGAAUGUAGGUAUUAAUUUAUCUUCAUUGUUCACUUUGUGUGAAUUCACUUCAGAAACUUAAAGAACAGAGCUUUAGUCAUAUUCCGAAGUCAGCAUGGCCUAACCACGACCCACAAGGUGAGGAGCAGUUCACACCUCCUCUGGUCAAGCCCCAUCAGAGUGCACUGUCUGAGCUGCCAACUAAAGGUGAGGCUCCAGCAAGAGCUGCCAUUCAGAGCUCGGAAACCCAACCAAUAUGGAUAAAAGUAUCAGCGUUUAUGUCUGUCCUUAGUUUUGCAUUUCAGUAGUUCAGAUUUCACUGAAAGUUCUUUGGGAACUUCAGCUCAUGGAAGAUUAGAAUCAGUCAUUCAGUAUUAUAAUGAAGAGUAAUUAAGGCCUUUCCAAGAUACCAGAAGGUGAUCAAGGAAAGCUCUCUUCUUCCUUUGUAAGUCUAGUCUGGUGCUAGCAGAUUAAAUGAAGCGCAACUCAUGGUUAAUGAAGUUUUUACUAAUAAAAUCUAGUCUCUUAAAAUGCUUCCCUUUCAUACAAAAUUUCUGUCCAUACUUUGUCUAUUUUAGCAUAAUCAUAACCCAUAUUUAGCCCAGACAAAUGUUUUUAGAUUUUAUUAAUUUCAGUACAUUGUCAAGUAGACACACAAGUGUAUCUUCUCUUCUCCAUAUAUUGACAGCCUAAUUCACGUGCCUGUAAGUUCAUCUAAGACUCUUUCCACUAAGGCAUAGAAAACAAAUGACCUUUCAGGGAAAUACCUAUAAGCAUUUCAAUCAAUGCUGCUGCUUUUCAGUUAGGAUUAUUAAAAAUCUAAACAUUAAUCUCCUAUAGGUGCAGAACAACAGUCAUUUUAGAUACUGGUUUCUUUGGAGUCUGAUUUAAGAGGGUGAUUUGUAGGAGUAAGUACUGGAAUGAUUAAUGAGAUUUCAGUAGCUUUUUGCAUAGUUUCCUAUCUAAAGCAAAUAAAAUAAAAGUCUACAAACAAACAAAACCCCCAAACCAGUAAGGACAAAUUAAUUGUGUGCCUUUCACUGCUUCCUGAAAAAUCUUACACCCACUCCUAAAAGUUUCAUUAUGCAUGAAAGCUUUUUAAGCAAGAGUUUUAGCAGAUGCAGAAGACAUUCAAAGAAUUUGUGGAAGUUCCUUAUGUUCUUCUUUAUAAAGUCUGUUAGGCACACUUGGCACAGGCUGAGUCUGACCCUGAUUUCCAAGCACAUGAACGGCCAAAAUGAAAUGUCAUUUCUUUAAUAGUUUUUUUCCCUUUUUUUUUUUAAAGCAUAUAUUAGGCACAUAUCUGAAGAAACAAUAUUUUACUCCUUUAUUUUAAGUUUAGGUAGCAGUCAUGAGAGAUUAGAUGCUGUUAAAUGUAAUGAAGCAUGAAGAUUACAAGAUAAAUGAACCAGAGGCUUUUCAGCUCGAUAGCAUCAUUCAGCACAUAAUGAUACAGAUUUUGUAUUUCAGACACAAAUGUCACCUUGGGGUUGAAAUCAUGCUAGAUGAAUCUGUAUGAGCAAGUAUAACUUAGAUAGUUCCCCACACCCCGAUUACCUUUCUCUUUUAAAUAUAGAAAGGAAAAUGAGUCCUCCUGAAUUGAGAGAUGAGUUAUUUGUGUGUAGUAUUUGUGAUGGAAAAUUCUUUCUAAAAUUAGCACAGUAAUAAA